GGGAGGGUCCCUCUCAGAGGCACCCUCCUCUCCUACCCGCCACGCGUUCUCCGCUGGCCUGUGAGACACGGUCCUCCCUCCACCUCCCCUCUCGGCCUUCGCGAGUGUGGGUGCCUCGGGGCACUGGCGAGACCCUCCAGGAACAUGAAUGCUGAGGCCAAGAAGAAGAAACAGCCAAAUGAGACAACUGGCAACCCAGAUACAGAACAACUUAGCGAGCUAAAGCGAGAAGUGUCUGCUCACCCCUGGUUCGUCACACUGGGUUCACUGUGUUCCCUGGCAAUGAAAGCCAAAGUGCAAAACUUUGACCAGGAGAGGCUGCAUCCGAUUUUUCACCCUGCCCUGAAAUUCUAGACAAAGCAUUACAAAGCCUACACGUCUGUUCGAAAUGGAAGCAAUUUAAUAUUUCGGUCAACCAUCUUGCCACACGAAUAUCAUGACUAUGAAACCAAGUAACAGUGCUGACUUGUCCAUGCUGAACUUUUUAUAUCAAAUUCCUGCUGUAGACAUUUGGUAAACAUGUAAAAGAGUGUAUGUGUUUGGGUGUGCACACAUGCAUGUGCACGUGUGUUCCAUGGCUGGGCCUCAGGAGAGACUUGAAGGCUUCAAAGUUUCUGUCUGGUACCAGAUCAUUGUCCAUUAGCAUCCGCUCCCUCUUUUUGAUUUCUGGGUAGCCCCUGACCCCCACACCACCCCAACUGAUGCCGCCUCUGGGUUCCACCUCUAUCAGCUACCCAAGAAAGUCCUUGAUAAAACCAUUCCAGGUAAGGUAUUGUCUGCUCAAGGCCUAAAGAUUAUGUGGGGACAUCUAUAUUGUAACUGGGGACACUGGAGACCAAAUAGCUUCCAAGAUGCAAAGGAGGGAUCUGUAAGGAUAGAAUUUCAUUCAUUGUGACAGGACAAGACUUUUGCAUGGAGGAAUAGUUUUGUGCUUCACUUUCUUAGGGGGAUAAUCAUGUAAUUUUCACAUGUUCGUUACACAAUUAAGAAAGAUUUUUCAUCACUCUUUCUCUCAGCAAUGUUAUCUCUGCAGAUGGUAUAAAGCUUUGCUACUGUACCAAGCACUCUGAUUUCUGAGUCUCCCCUGCCCCUCCCAUCCCGCCCCAUGUUCCGUAUCCAAAUAGCUGACUUCUUGCUGGACAUUUCCACCAGGAUGUACUCUGUACUCAUGGAAUCUCAAAUUCAACGUGUAUACAACCAAAGUUAUCAUCUUUUCCCGCAAACCUAGCCCUUUUCCUGAUAGUUGUUAUUUCUGUUAAUAGUAUUAUACUCCCUAUCCUUUGUGUUUACAAUCUUCAAAUGAUCUCUGGGUCUUCCCUUUUCCUUUGCUCCCCACAUCUGGAUAAUGAGAACAUUCUGUACCCUCGAUCUCCAUAAGAUCUCUCAAUCCACUCCUUCCUUUCCAUCCCCACUGCCAGUCCUCUGGAUCUGGCCCUCUUGAACUGUUGCCUGGACUGUUGGAGUAGCCUCUAAGUUUUCUUCACCUUGGUGUCUUGUCUCUCCUAUGAUGGUCUAGAUCCAUCUUCUUGGGUAAAUUUUUAAUCAUGUUGCAGAUAGUGAGGACUGUGUUUUGUUCAUUUUUAUAUCUCAGUGCCUAAUACAGUACCUGGUACAUAGUAGGAAUUUUGUCAAGGUUGGAUUAAGUAUACUACAGAAGGCAAUGACUUAUUUGAGUGUCCAAGGCCUGGAGUCAACAUCUUGGAUCCUGCCAAUCAUUCUCCACAUACUAAAUUCCUACUGUAUGGCAGUGUGCAAAUGCCAGACAUAUCCUGGUGAACAAGAUUGGGGUAGUCACUGCGUCGGUGGAGCUACCACUUAAGAAUGAUUUUUUUAGAUCUCACUAUUAGAACAUGCUUCUUUGAUCUGCAGAAUCAAAUUUCUUUUUGUUAAAAAUCAGGAAUUUAUUGUGUCAUUUAUUUUGUGUAUCAGGUUGUGGAAUAAAUCUUUAAACU